UGGCCCACCCUACCCAUUUCAGACUUGCCUAGCCAGCCCCCAAAAUCCUGGAACCCAACUCAUUGCCUCUCUCUCUCUCUCUCUCUCAAUCUCUAUUUCUCUCUGUCUGUCUCAGUGUAUGUGUGUGUAGCCUACUGAUUCUGUUUCUCUAGUGGAACCCUGGUAUAUCAAGUCUAAAAAUGUUUCAAAAAUAAUUUUAGUCAUCUUUUACAAUUGUCAUUUUAGAGAAUACCAAUUCCUUGGAUAAAAAUAGCUAGCUAGAAAUGAAACUCAUUACUGUACAGUCACUAUUAUAUCUGAAUUCCUCAUUCACUCUGGCAAAACAUAAAUUCUAAAAGAAUCAAAUCAUGUUAAACAAAAACUACUUUAGAGUACUGGUUUCAUUUCAGGUGUCAUUGAAGUCAUAAAAAUCAUUAUGUCUCAGAUAAACUAUGAUAGUAAAAAGAUGAAUGAAAUGAUUAAAAUUUCUGCUACAGGUCGUGCCAAAUCACACUUAAAAUAAUUUCUAUAAAAAUAAUAAAGGAAAUGAUUAACACAUUGAAAAAAUUUAAUAAAUUGUGGGGAGGCAUCCAAAGGUUUCCUGGAUCUAAAACAUCAAAAAGAUGAAUAAUUUGAGAAGCAUUUAAAAUUGAAGCAUUCAGACCUGCCAUGCAUAUAUUAUUAUCCUGGCCUUAAUAAAGAUUAAUAAGAAUGAGAAGAAGUUCUUAGGGCCAUGUUAGGUACCUACUAUGAGCACACUAAACAGUAGCUAUUACAGUUUCUACAUGUUAAAGUCCAAAUUUUAUUCUAGUCAUAUAACUAUUGUUUUAAUCAACAUUUGAGGUAAUACCCUUUUAUAUUUUCAAGUUAUAAUUUUUGCUUUUAUUUGGAAAUAAAAUAACUAAUAUAAUUUAUUUUCUCUUCCUAGAGUGAGGUCAGCUAAAAACAAGAAAGAAAUUUAAAGCAUCCUGGGAAGUCAUCAUACCCUUUUUCUCCAAGAAAAUCUAGUUUUGCUUGUUUUUGUGUAUCCCACAACACCUGUGUUUGACUAUCUUUUUCACUUUGGAUUUGGAUUUUGGUGUGAUAUACACAGUUCCAAAAAAUCAAUGGAUAGAAAACUCAAUGGCAUAAAUAAGUGCUUAAAACAAUACUUCAAGAAAUGUUCAACAUUCCACGAGAACAAUAUCCACGUGAGAUGAAAAGAAAAGUCUAAGUUAGUUCCUGAUUCCUGGAAGCUGGGAAAGUCUCAUUCCAGUAACUACUUAAUACCCCCUGUCAGUCUCCUUCAAAGGCUGAAGCCAGCCUCUGACUGAAGCGCAGCCGCAAUGUUUCCUGUCUGGUGCCAGCACAGCUUGCCUGGACUUCUGAAAAUUGCAAGCGCUUGCUCCUUGCUAGUCACCACACUCCCCCUUUCUUAGUUGCAGACUCCCUCUUGCUGUGGUUUACCAGGUGCCCUUAUUGCCCCUCAUGCUUGUGUGCCACUUUGGACUUAAUCUGGCACACUUAACUCCCUUCAUCUACGCCUGAAGCUGGACAAGCUGAAGUGACUGCGUCACUUUCUCAAUUCUGGCUCCUGCCCACCGACCUUGCUCUGCUAGGAGGAAUUAGCUCUGCCUGGCCAGAACCCAAGAAGUGACAAAUCAAACUCGCUCAAUAGGUGGUAAUUAAACUUCUGGCUCUAAAGCCCAGAAUAGGUUGUCAAUGGGAUUUCACAGUGGCUCCCUGACACUAAGCAAGGAUGUAUUUCUACAUCUAGUUUUAAAUCUUAAACUCUAAUAGGAUUCUCAGAAAAGACAGUAAAGACUAAGGCCAAAAAAAGUUGUUUAAAGGGGAAAAUGACAGUAAGUACAAAAGAUAAUCUGGGGAAGACCUGGCAAUUCUGAAAUCAAAACAUCUGUUACUAAGUGGAUCAUGACUGCUUAGUUUCUAGGUGAGCUGAAUAAAAAUACUAACUGAACAAUGAUGUAGGUCGUUGUCAAAUCUAAUCAAUUUCUUGUUUGUUUGUUUGUUUUUUUCCAUCAGUCUAGAAUCUUUAAGUAAGCCAUUCAGAAGAUGUGAUACUAUAGAAUGAUACCAACUGAGGAAUAGAGUGGAGAGGAAGGGCUGAAGAUGACUUCAGAAAAAGGCCUGAGGCGUGACAAAUGUUGAUCUCACUCACUGAUCUAUGCUGUAUUUCUUUUAAGAAUGUAUUAAUAUAAAUGUCCUUUUCUUCCCACAUCCAAUCCCUAUUACUACACCAAAUACUUGUUCCUCUAGGAAAUGUGAAGUUGAAAAAAAUUUCCCCCAUUAAAUGAGAAUUAUUCUGCUUAUGACAUUAGGAUAUAUGCUCUCGCUUUAAAAAUAGGAGGCUGUUGAAUUCAUCAUUUGAGUAUAUUAAAUAGACUGUGGAAGAGUAUUAUCCUCCUGGAAACCUCUUAUCCCUCACUCUUAUACCACGAGGGAUUGCCAGUUAGGUCUAAUGACCAAUAAUAUCCACAGCCAUAGGUAAUCAGAAGAGUUUCUGGUUUCUCUAAAGUGGAAAAUAAAUUGCUGCCAAGGCAAACCAAAUAGCAUAGAGUUUUGUAUGAUCUGCCUCUAAUGCUUCUCUGUGUAAACAUGCUAACUAAUGACAUCUGGAGAACAAGCUAUGUCAUGCAGCUUCCUCAGUGAUAACUUUUUAAACACCUGGUUAGAGAUCUUUAUCCAAGGGUGUAACUGAGUUACCGCACUCCUCAGCCCUAAGCCACCUUGUCAGUUUACCCCAGUGUGCCAUACAAAUAUUACUUUCUAUACAUGCCAUGAUAUGGAAAAGGUUCGGAAGGCCUGAAUUAAUAUUUAUCAAAUAUCUUACUUUGGCAAAGCCCAUAUUUUCAUAUGGUGUCUUUGAAGAAUAAAAACAUGUUUGAGCUGGAAAGAUCCCAGAUAACUUUUUCCCAAAUGGGACUCCUUCAAGUGUAAGUUCCAUAGAAUAUUAAAUGUUAAAUUAAUUGGGAGAAGGAAUUUGAGAAAUACUGGGUUAAAGUUUAAAAGUUUUUUUUUUUAAGUGCAGGAUGUCUAAGACAUUUGGAUAUGCUGAAUGCAGUGUCAUUCUCUAGCAGGAGGGUGUAAUACAAAUUAGUAUUUAUUUAAAGAUGGAGCUUUUAGAAUAUAGUUUGUUUUGUUUUUGUUUUUGUUUUUGUU
rnacentral:lncRNA from 1 species